UACGUAGGGGGCUAGCGUUGUCCGGAAUCAUUGGGCGUAAAGAGCGUGUAGGCGGCUCGGUAAGUCCGCUGUGAAAGUCCAGGGCUCAACCCUGGAAUGCCAGUGGAAACUGUCGAGCUAGAGUCCGGAAGAGGCGAGUGGAGUUCCUGGUGUAGCGGUGAAAUGCGUAGAUAUCGUCUGGAACGCCAAAGGUGAAAACAGCUCGCUGGGGUUGUGCUGACGCUGAGACACGAAAGCCAGGGGAGCGAACGGG
rnacentral:rRNA from 1 species